GCGCUAAGAACUGUUAAGGAGACAGGACCCCGUUUUCAUGUUGUGUGGAAACAAACACCUCCCGUUUUAGGGCGAUACGUAUAUGCGUUGAAUUAUUGUACAAUAUUCUAAGUUUACAAUUCUUCGUGCGUCCUUACUUAUUCUUUGUUCCUGUGUUUCGGCCUGCAAGCUGACUGUCGCGUGCCUGAUCUAAUGUCUAGUGCUUGUCUGAGGUGGGCCCUGAGCCGUGCAUCUAGAGGUGUCUGUGGUGGAACUCUCAACUCCUGGAGAAUAGCCUCUGGGGCUGGGCUCCUAUCAUUCAAUGGGAGAUGUGUGAGUGCAUCGUUGUCUUGGGGAUGGUGUCCACUGUCCACCACAGUGGAUGAAACUGAAGAGGGGCAGGUGCCUAAGAAGAAGCAGGAUCCCCGAGCUCGUGCCACCAUUGGCAGUAUUGGCCGGAAGAUCCACCAGCGCCACCUGCAGGUGAUCAAUGAGAAUGGCGAGAACAUGGGCACCAUGCAUCGAGCUGAUGUCCUCAGACUGAUGGACGAGAAUGGGCUUAAACUGGUCCCUCUCAACGAAAACAAAGAUCCACCCGUCUACCGUCUAAUGACUGGCAAACAGAUCCAUGAGGAGCAGCUCAAACUGCGUGAGAAACAGAAAGCCAAGACAGGCCCUGUGCAGGUAAAGGAGCUUACCGUUUCCUCUGACAUUGGUAACCAUGAUCUUCUAACCAAGCUGAGGCAGGUCCAGAGCUGGCUGGACAAGAAGCACCAUGUCAGAAUCACUCUGAGAACCGGGCGUGUGGAACAUACACAGCCACUGGACACAACUCUGGAGCAGAUGGUGCAACAGAUAGAGGGGCUGGUAGGAUUUGUUUCCAAACCCAAAGUAAUCCGAGACGGUAGAGCUGCCAUGUGCAUCCUGCGUCCACCCUCAGUGAAGGAACUCAGAGAAAUGAACAAAGCCUUCAUGGGGGCAGGUGUAAGGGCGCUGCUCUUCAUGGAAAGAGCUGAUGUUGCCCUGCAGGUUGAAAGGCGCACCCCUCCCUGGGACAGAUAAACACCGGGCGCUCCUCUGCGUGGACACACUAGUGCUGCUUCAGGAACCAGCCUCCGCCUGGAUGACACAACUCACAGUGCAGGGAGAGCUGUGACGCACUGGUCUGGACAGGAGGCUGUUGUAAAUGCAGUAUUCACUCAGACAUUGAGCCAACGCAUUGAUUGGUUCUGUGUGGGUGUUUGAGUGAGAAAGACAUGGAGAAGAACCAACUACAACAUCAAAACAGCCUUUCCAUAUUGUGAAGUCAGUUUAAAAAAAAAAAGUAUUAUUCUGACUGCAGAGAGAGGGGCUCCGGAGUUGGAGACUUGAGGCAACAAUUGCAGAAGUGGAGUUCGAGUCUGAAUAGAGAAGAGCACUGAGUAAAGUUUGGGAUGAUGAAUAGAACACAGUAGUGUCAAAGAAUGGAACAAAAAGGAAAUUGUCUAAAAUUGAAGUGGAUGACAAGUGUAUGUCUGGAAAGGAUUUGUUUGUUAUUGGGAGGCGAUUUUUGGAUAAGAAUGUUUAUCUGGGAGAUCUGUUUGAGGUAUCGAGGAAGGUGAAGUAGGUGCUGGGAAAAGUGGAGUCAGAGUGAUCAGGAGUGGGCUUGUUCUGAUUAAUUGUGUUUCUGAAGAACAGAAGAAGAGUGCAUUGGGCAUCACAAAAAUCUUGACCUCCCAAGUAAUGUGCUUUGAACUUCGGAGUAGGGCGCCUGUUAAAGGAGUAAUCUCCGGGUUGUCGUAGAAGUUAAGGCUGAAUACAUCAAGAAUCAUGUCCCAGAUAUGGUUGGUACGUGUCACUUUACCCGCAUGGUGAAUGGAGAAAGGGAGGAAAGUUUGUCGGGUCUGUUUUUAGAUUAAGAGAACCUCCCUACGUGUGUAAAGCCAGGCUAUGUAAGGCAUUAUGUAAGAGAAUUGGUCUCCAAACUACUACAAUGUAAACUAUAAAUGAUUUGGCCCUGUUUAAAAUGUUUGCAGACGGAUGGAGUAUGAUGAAGAUCGGAGUGAAGAAGGUCAGUGUUGUAAUUGUGAUGGGGAUGGGGAUCAUGACCCAGAGUCCCUAGUGUAUCCUGUAAGGGCCCCGCUGAAAAAAAACCAUACAUUGACUGUACAAAACAUUUAGGACACCCCCCCAAGUGGACU